CAUUGAUCAUUUGAGUGGACUACAUAUCACAGCUCCUGUCAGACGUCUACGGAUAACAAUCAUUCCCAAGUAAGAAACUGCUAAGGAUCUUACGAAGACAUGGAGGAAAUAAAACAUCUAAUGAUUCUUGUCCUGGUAGCAGCAACUUUAACCCCAACUGCCGCACCAGGCCAAAGCACAUCACAGACCACCUCACCAACCACCACACCAGGCCAAAGCCCAGCGCAGACCACCUCACCAACCACCACACCAGGCCAAAGCACAUCACAGACCACCUCACCAACCACCACACCAGGCCAAAGCCCAGCGCAGACCACCUCACCAACCACCACACCAGGCCAAAGCACAUCACAGACCACCUCACCAACCACCACACCAGGCCAA